GACAAAUCCCAAACUAUUAGACGUAUUGCUGACUUUCUUGGUAAAAAACUAAGCGACGAGAAUGUUCAGAAGAUCACGGAACAUUGUCACGUGGACAAUAUGAGGGACAAUCCAAUGGUGAAUUUAAAAUACUAUGAGGAUAUGGAUUUUGUUCACACACACAUAGCCAGAAAACAUAUCAAUAAAGGAAAGCCGGGUACCUGGCAUGAAAUACUUACAACUGAACAAAGUGAGAAAGUAGACACAAUGAUUCAACAGUUAAAGGGUUCUGGUCUUGAAAUAGUUAUGACAUAGACAAAGUUAUAUAUAGUUCAAACUUCACUGAGGGAAUAAAAGAAAGGACAUAGUAUGGAAAAACAGGUUUGGGCGGAAGAAAGAUUGGUCGAUAUUAAAUGUGUAUGUGGACAAAGUUGCACCUGAAAAUAAGUUGACAGAAUAAAACGUGAAAUACCAAACUGUUAAAUUAUGUUUUAUGCUAAAUUCACACAUGUGCCAUCCGCAUUAUUAAAAAUUAAAGGAACUCCACUGAAGUCCAAAAACCUAAAAUCAUAAAAUUUGAGUUGCUCACAUAGAUCAAACAGAAAGAUAAUUAUAUAUAGAUUAUUUAGAAAUAUAAAAUCAAAUAAAUUGAAAAUCAUA